CGGCUACCCAUCCAAGGAAGGCAGCAGGCACGCAAAUUACCCACUCCCGGCACGGGGAGGUAGUGACAAAAAAUAACGAUACGGGACUCUUUUGAGGCCUCGUAAUCGGAAUGAGUACACUUUAAAUCCUUUAACAAGGAUCCAUUGGAGGGCAAGUCUGGUGCCAGCAGCCGCGGUAAUUCCAGCUCCAAUAGCGUAUAUUAAAGUUGUUGCGGUUAAAAAGCUCGUAGUUGGUUCUGCGUGCCACGCUGUCGGUACACCGUUUGUCGGUGCAACUGGCAUGUCGUGGCAUGUCCUGUCGGUGGUGACCGGGGUCUAGGGUGCCGAUGGUCUCCAGGAGUGCCCGAUCGGAUUCUCGGUUGCCGACUAUAUCCUACCGCGGUGCUCUUAAUUGAGUGUCGAGGUAGGCCGACACGUUCACUUUGAACAAAUUAGAGUGCUUAAAGCAGGCCAAAAUCUCCGCCUGAAUAGUGGUGCAUGGAAUGAUAGAACAGGACUUCGGUUCUAUUUUAUUGGUUUUCGGAACACGAGGUAAUGAUCAAUGUGGACAGGCGGGGGCAUUCGUAUUGCGACGUUAGAGGUGAAAUUCUUGGAUCGUCGCAAGACGCACUAGAGCGAAAGCAUUUGCCAAGUAUGUCUUAAUUGAUCAAGAACGAAAGUUAGAGGUUCGAAGGCGAUCAGAUACCGCCCUAGUUCUAACCAUAAACGAUGCCAGCCAGCGAUCCGCCGAUGUUCCUCCGAUGACUCGGCGGGGAGCUUUCCCCGGGAAACCAAAGCUUUUGGGUUCCGGGGGAAGUAUGGUUGCAAAGCUGAAACUUAAAGGAAUUGACGGAAGGGCACCACCAGGAGUGGAGCCUGCGGCUUAAUUUGACUCAACACGGGAAACCUCACCAGGUCAGGACAUUGGAAGGAUUGACAGAUUGAUAGCUCUUUCUUGAUUCAGUGGGUAGUGGUGCAUGGCCGUUCUUAGUUGGUGGAUCGAUUUGUCUGGUUAAUUCCGAUAACGAACGAGACUCUAGCCUAUUAACUAGACGUUUCUGGUAUCGUAGCUACCAGCGACACAUAUUCUUCUUAAGGGGACAGGCGGCUUAUAGCCGCACGAGAUUGAGCAAUAACAGGUCUGUGAUGCCCUUAGAUGUCCUGGGCCGCACGCGCGCUACACUGAAGGAAUCAGCGUGUGCGUUCCCUUGGCCGAAAGGUCCGGGUAACCCGCUGAACCUCCUUCGUGCUAGGAAUUGGGGCUUGCAAUUGUUCCCCAUGAACGAGGAAUUCCCAGUAAGCGCGAGUCAUAAGCUCGCGUUGAUUACGUCCCUGCCCUUUGUACACACCGCCCGUCGCUACUACCGAUUGAAUGAUUUAGUGAGGUCUUCGGACUGGCGGUAAGCCUCACCGACUUGUCGGUUUUGCUGAACGCUGGAAAGAUGACCAAACUUGAUCAUUUAGAGGAAGUAAAAGUCGUAACAAGGUUUCC
rnacentral:rRNA from 1 species